UCUGAUUCUGGAUGAAGGGGCAGAUCUGGCAUGCAUUACUGAGACCUGGGUGGAUGAGAUGGGUGGGCCUGGUCUCAGCCAGCUCUGUCCCCCAGGCUACUCAGUGCAGCACAAUUCCAGACCAGUUGGACGGGGAGGUGGUGUUGCUAUGGUCCAUAAGACUUCCAUUCCACUUACCGGGAGGCCAGUCCGCUCUGUAUCUGGAUGUGAGGGGCUAUUUCUGCUGUUGGGACAGAGAGACAGAAUAGGGAUUCUGCUUGUGUAUCGUCCACCCUGCUGCCCUGCAGCGUCCCUAUCUGAGCUGGCUGAGGUGGUCUCAGAUGUGGCGUUGGAGUCUCCUGGCACAGUNGUAUUGGGGGAUUUCAACAUGCUGAGAUGAACCUCAGUGAGCCAGCUCAGUUCUUCAUGGCCUCCAUGACAACCAUGGGGCUGUCUCAGUAUGUUACUGGUCCAGCACAUCCAGCAGGACACACCCUUGAUUUGAUCUUUGCCACAAGGUGGAAUGGUGAAACUCUGUUGGUAGGAGGGCUAACAAUAAGCCCAUUGUCGUGGACAAAUCACUCCCUGGUGAGCUUUGGCCUUACAGUGGCACCUUCCCUCUGCAGGGGUGGAGGACCCGUUCAGAUGGUCCACCCCUGGAGACUUACAGAAUCUCAUAGAUUCCUGAAUGCUUUGGGGGAUUUCCCGGUUGACAUGAAUANCGCUCCUGCCGAGGUUCUGGUCUCACUGUGGAAUCAUGAGGUGAGCAGAGCCAUCCACUUGAUCACACGCAAGCACCCUCGACCCAGCGGUGCAACCUGUAAAGUACCCUGGUAUUCCAUUGAAUUAUGGGUGAUAAAGCAAGCGGGCCAACAGCUAGAGUGCAGGUGGUGUAAAUCCCACUGUGAAUCUGACCAAGCACAUGUUAGAGCACAUUAUCAUGCCCACUGUGUGGUGGGGUGUGUGGCAAAAAGGGUUUACUUGGCCAGCACCAUUUCAUCCUCAAGUAGCCAUCCAGCAGAGCUUUUUAGAGUGGUAAAUGGGCUCUUGAGACCUAGGCCAAGAAGGCAAGGACAGUUACCAUCUAACAUCUGCUGUGACACAUUUGCUAGGCACUUUGAGGAUAAAGUCGCUCAGAUCCGUAGGGGACUUGAUACCACAAUUCAAAAUAGUCCAAAGGAAAGGUCCAGAGAACCAUCUGGUCCUGUUAUUUUGGAUCGAUUUCAAUUAUUGAGGCCUGAGGAUGUGGACAAGCUGCUUGCUGGGCUUUGGGCGACCACAUGCUCUCUAGAUCCUUGCCCAUCUUGGUUGAUAAAAACUAGCCGACACAGUAUGACUGGGUGGGUUCUGGGGGUGAUGAAUGCCUCCUUGAGGGAUGGGGUUGUACCAAUGGCUCUGAAAGAGCCAGUGGUACAUCCCCUCCUGAAGGGGCCAUCCCUGGACCCUGAGGUUUUAAACAACUACCACCCAGUGGCAAACAUACCCUUCUUGGGAAAGGCUCUGGAGAGAGUUAUCGCUACCCAAUUGCGAGCAUGCUUGGAGGAAGCUGAUUAUCUGG
rnacentral:lncRNA from 1 species